rnacentral:rRNA from 1 species
GACAUAGGUCGCAAACGUUAUCCGGAAUUAUUGGGUGUAAAGGGCAAGUAGGUGGCUUGGUAAGUGAGAGGUGAAAUACUCCGGCUCAAUCGGAGAACUGCCUUUCAUACUGCCUUGCUUGAGGAUGACAGGGGGAAAUGGAAUUCCCGGUGUAAGGGUGAAAUCUGUAGAUAUCGGGAAGAACACCAGCGGCGAAGGCGAUUUCCUAGGUCAUUCCUGACACUCAAUUGCGAAAGCUAGGGGAGCAAACAGA